CAUGCAACAGCAAACACCCAGUCCAUCAGUCACUCUUCACAGCUUCAGGGGAGAACCUCCGCUGGCUUACAUCUGCAAAAAUCAGCCAACAUCAGCCAUGCACCAUCUACCUGCUUCUUCUUCUUUUUUUAUUGCAUUUCACAAAACUAACAUUUUCUUUUUCUUUACAGAAGAACAAAGAACAAUUAAGUCCAACCCAGAAAGUUGUUGAAAAGAUGCAUACAUAAAAUGGACUGUGCUGCUGAUCAAUUAGGUUACCUGUUUUAAACAACAGCAGAGACAUAACGGUGCAAUGGCAACUUGCAUUAGGUUAGAUUUUAUUCACUCCUGCAGGUGCAAGGACAGCAUAUACUUUAGUAAAUCUCCAGAGAUCUGUCUCCUGUGUCCCAAUGGAGUUCCUGUAAAUUGUGGCAGUAAGAAUUGCAGCAAGGUUGAAACAGGAAAACGAUCCACCCUAAGUCCUAGAGCACGGAAGAAAACAAAAAUAUCAGCACAGAUAACCGAAAGCAGACAUUGACAGACCACUAAUACACAGAGCAAUAACUCAGAAGACAAAGACAAAAGACAAGGAAAGAUGGUUUCAUGUAUUCAGUAAGAAGGUUGGGGUGGGCUGGUCUGAAGAGCCAAAGAGCAACAACAGUGUGUUGUAAGUGUGUACUUGUGAUGGGAAGGAUUGCUGUAAUUGUCUUUUUAAGUGGUCAUCACCUAGUAAUUGGGCAUGUAUGAAAGCCUCUCUCUGA